AUUGAACGCUGCGGAAUGCUUUACACAUGCAAGUCGAGCGGCAGCGCGGGGGCAACCCUGGCGGCGAGCGGCGAAUGGGUGAGUAAUACAUCGGAACGUGUCCUUAAGUGGGGGAUAGCUCGGCGAAAGCCGGAUUAAUACCGCAUAAGCUCUGAGGAGGAAAGCGGGGGCUCCGUAAGGACCUCGCGCUGUUGGAGCGGCCGAUGUCGGAUUAGCUAGUUGGUGGGGAAAGGCCCACCAAGGCGACGAUCCGUAGCUGGUCUGAGAGGAUGAUCAGCCACACUGGAACUGAGACACGGUCCAGACUCCUACGGGAGGCAGCAGUGGGGAAUUUUGGACAAUGGGGGCAACCCUGAUCCAGCCAUUCCGCGUGAGUGAAGAAGGCC
rnacentral:rRNA from 1 species